AUAAAAAUUCUAAAAAGAAAUUGAUGUUUCAUGUUUUGAAAAGAGAUUUUGAUGCGGGUGGAUUACGGCAUUGAUCAUAGUUACGGCGAUUGAGCUUUAAAGAGAGAGAGUGAGAGAGUUGAAAAUUACAUUGGCUGAAUGAGAGAUUCUGUCCACCUGUGUUACGUACGUUCAGAGUGAAUUUUCCCACAAUUAUUAGUUGUGUCACCCAACAGUUUUAUGUGCUUUGCAACUCUUUUGAUGAAGGUUGAAAUGUAGACCAAGAAAAAAAUCGUCAAAAUAAACGCAAAUAGAGAUAAAAUCUAUUCAAAAUUUGGAGUGCAAUAUUCGGUCCAACUCACGAACGUACGUAACAACUAAAAAAACGGACCGUGGCGUCCGCGAAUAUGACGCAUGGAUAAUCCACGUAUCAGUCAAGUGAACCAAGGCACUGCAACGUUUGAUUGUACUUGCAAUCCAUGCGCUGACUUCUACAAUCGCGGGGCCGUGUAGCUCUAUAUAACUUCUGUCCAGUUUGUGCGUACGUUCACGGUUGCUGGUAGUUAGAACGACACGUACGCACGAUGGACAGAAAUGCUAUUCGGUCUUAUUUACGUACGUUUUUUUGCGGGGUUUCGUGAGCAGCAGACGACAUCCGAUCGUAAUCAUUGGAGUAUCAACUCAACAUUAGAUUAGAUCUAGGCUUUGAAAAUCGUGGAAUGGUGCAACCGCAACCCAAUUUAGCUCACGCAAAAAAAGCAACUGCAGUUGCCUAAAUCAAGAACAAAAAAAAACAAAUUUAUACUUACCAACAGCUUGCUUGAUUACUUAAUGUUGGUUAUCUUCAAUAAAUUGUGUUUUCUUCAAAAGGUCGCAUU